rnacentral:misc_RNA from 1 species
GGAAUAUUGCACAAUGGGGGAAACCCUGAUGCAGCGACGCCGCGUGAGCGAAGAAGUAUUUCGGUAUGUAAAGCUCUAUCAGCAGGGAAGAAAAAAUGACGGUACCUGACUAAGAAGCACCGGCUAAAUACGUGCCAGCAGCCGCGGUAAUACGUAUGGUGCAAGCGUUAUCCGGAUUUACUGGGUGUAAAGGGAGCGCAGGCGGUUUGUUAAGUCAGAUGUGAAAUCCCCGGGCUCAACCUGGGAACUGCAGUUGAUACUGGCAGUCUUGAGUGCAGUAGAGGUGGGCGGAAUUCGUGGUGUAGCGGUGAAAUGCUUAGAUAUCACGAAGAACUCCGAUUGCGAAGGCAGCUCACUGGAGUGUAACUGACGCUGAUGCUCGAAAGUGUGGGUAUCAAACAGGA